AUUGAACGCUGGCGGCAGGCCUAACACAUGCAAGUCGAACGAGUGGCGGACGGGUGAGUAAUGUCUGGGAAACUGCCUGAUGGAGGGGGAUAACUACUGGAAACGGUAGCUAAUCCCGCAUACCAUCGGAUGUGCCCAGAUGGGUUUAGCUUGUUGGGGGGGUAACGGCUCACAAAGGCGACGAUCCCUAGCUGGUCUGAGAGGAUGACACGCCACACUGGAACUGAGACACGGUCCAGACUCCUACGAGAGGCAGCAGUGGGGAAUAUUGCACAAGGGGCGCAAGCCGUAUGCAGCCAUGCCGCGUGUAUGAAGAAGGCCUUCGGGUUGUAAAGUACUUUCAGCGGGGAGGCGUUACCCGCAGAAGAAGCAACGGCUAACUCCGUGCCAGCAGCCGCGGUAAUUC
rnacentral:rRNA from 1 species